CACGGCUCCUAGACUGUACGAUCCCCCCACAGCGCUCAGUUAUUGACCCGUCUAUAGUUCGGGAGCUCAGCGCGCGCAGUCUAGAACUCCACUAGCCUAGGCCCACGAUGCCGGCGCCUUGCGACUCUUGUAAAUCGACGUGUGGCAGCGGCACCGCCGCUUGCGGCAGUGGCUGCACUUGCGGCCCGAGCUGCGUGUGCGGUGAUGGAAAGCCCUCCGGUGGCAAGCCCUGCUGUCAGGGCAAGUAAUAAGCGUGGGCGAAAUCUUCUGAUAACAUGAAGAUACAUUAAUUUUAAUCAUUCAAAAUAUUUUUUAGUCUUUAGUUAUAGAAUAUUACGCAAACAUGUAACUUAAUCAUUAUUUAUCCUAACUUCUAUAUUUUAUCUACUGUAAUAGGAUAUUGUGUCGUCAUGAAAUAAAUAUUGAUGUUAGAAUUACGCUUAAAGUAUUAAAUAUUAAUUAUAACUCAAUAUAUAGGGUAGUUUAUCGCUUAUUGUCUAAUAAUGUUUAGAUAAAUGUAGUAGUUUUAUCACAUUCAGUGUUUUAAUAUAUUUCUCAUAAGAUGGGUCUUUAGUACUGCAAUACUCAUUAAUGUAAGAUAUGUACGAGGGCACGCACACACGCAAAGAUACGGUGUAGUGAGUGUAUAGUGUAAUAAAUAAAGUUUAAUUGA